GCAGUCAAAGGCCGACCUCCCCUGAACAACUUCACUAACUAUUCCGCUACAUCUGCAUAACUUGCUGUAAAUUUCAACGACAGAUUGAUGAGACAAAUAUAUAAGAUAGCGCAUUUCCUUCUUGCAGCGUUAGCACUCGUGUUUGAGCUAUUUGUAGCAACGUACACACGAUUUUUCUGUUCAUAUGUCGAUACCGAAACUGAAACUGAGGUGGUGGUGGCGCUAGUGUCGCCAACAUCGCCCUGUCGCUUUUUUUUUUUUCUUCGCAGACAUGGCGGCGUCCUGCAUUUCGUGUGUGCGUCGUAGUGUCGAGUUUUGUUCAUGCGGUCGACCUUUACUGCGUUACCUCGCAUUGUGUGUUCUGUGUUGCGGUUACUGAUGUAAGCGCAAGUUCUUCACUGAGUAUGAUCCGCGGCACCGUGCAAAUAGUCACCAGAUGCCGGCCGUGCGACUCCGUUCUCUGCGACUCCUUUGUUCGGUGUGAUGGAGGGACGUGAUUCAUAGCUUUGGAGACCCUCUUUGCACCGUGCCCUCUUCAAACGUUUCCACGCAUCAGUGAGUAACAGCACCGCAAUCUUUACUCGACGGCACGCUCUGUGGGCCCAGAAAAUGCCUUGACGUUCGAGCAGUUCGGGAGCUAUACCGGCGGACAGCCGGAUGCGGGUAGCUUGGCCGUUCCUUGCUCUGCGCAUCGCUUGAAAACCGGCGGUCAUCCUGCAGUGUACGCUGCCAGCGUGCUUUCUUGCCAGAGCCACCUCCCCUGCUGGUGAUGACCAUAUGCAGCCAAUGCUGAUGUGAACCCGAGUGAUGAACAAAUGCAGAUCUGCAAAGGAGCUGUCCUGAGGCACCAUGCUUACUCAAGUCAUGCAGCGAGAGUCAGACGAUCUGAGUUCGUACACAGUUUGUACUGCUCCUACCGAAGAACUGGGCUCGUCCAUGCUGAAAGAAGCGUUUGGCAUGCCUGGAAAAGUACAUCAAAGCACACCCCAUCUGGCUGACUGCACUACCUCAAGGAAACUGCCUUUCUCCCAUCUGCAAGUUCCUAAGAAGUUACUAAUGAAGCAAGCCAGCAGGGCGUACGUGUUAGGCAUGGCAGCAUGGAGAACAAAUAAACAUGAGUAUUUGGUGCAA
rnacentral:lncRNA from 1 species